rnacentral:rRNA from 1 species
AUUGAACGCUGGCGGCAGGCCUAACACAUGCAAGUCGAACGGUAACAGGAAGAAGCUUGCUUCUUUGCUGACGAGUGGCGGGCGGGUGAGUAAUGUCUGGGAAACUGCCUGAUGGAGGGGGAUAACUACUGGAAACGGUAGCUAAUACCGCAUAACGUCGCAAGCCCAAAGAGGGGGACCUUCGGGCCUCUUGCCAUCGGAUGUGCCCAGAUGGGAUUAGCUAGUAGGUGGGGUAACGGCUCACCUAGGCGACGAUCCCUAGCUGGUCUGAGAGGAUGACCAGCCACACUGGAACUGAGACACGGUCCAGACUCCUACGGGAGGCAGCAGUGGGGAAUAUUGCACAAUGGGCGCAAGCCUGAUGCAGCCAUGCCGCGUGUAUGAAGAAGGCCUUCGGGUUGUAAAGUACUUUCAGCGGGGAGGAAGGGAGUAAAGUUAAUACCUUUGCUCAUUGACGUUACCCGCAGAAGAAGCACCGGCUAACUCCGUG